rnacentral:rRNA from 1 species
CAGAGGUCUCAAGCGUUGUUCGGAAUUAUUGGGCGUAAAGGGUGCGUAGGCGGCAGGGUAAGUUAGAUGUGAAAUACCGGUGCUUAACAUCGGAAUUGCAUUUAAGACUGCCUUGCUUGAGCAUUAGAGAGGAGACUGGAAUUUACGGUGUAGCAGUGAAAUGCGUAGAUAUCGUAAGGAAGACCAGUGGCGAAAGCGAGUCUCUGGCUAAAUGCUGACGCUGAGGCACGAAAGCUGGGGGAGCAAACGGGAUUAGAUACCCCGGUAGUCCCAGCAGUAAACGGUGCGCGUUUGGUGUGAGCAGGUUCGACCCUGUUCGCGCCGGAGCUAACGCGUUAAACGCGCCGCCUGGGAAGUACGAUCGCAAGAUUA